CUCAGCUUUCUUUAUAGUCCAACUCUCACAUCCAUACAUGACUACUGUUUGCAGGAGCAAAGAAAUUCUAGCCCUAGAUAUAUACGCAGGGACUCAAACACAUACAUGUAGAUGCAUGUUCAUACAUGUACUCACAUGUUCACAGCAGCACUGAUCACAAUUACCAAUAGCUGGCCACAGCUGGAGCGUCUGCCCAGAGGAAUGGAUGAGCAGACUGCAAGUGUACAUAACAAGGCAAUCAGGCCCUGAUACAGGCGAAACCAGACACGAAAGUCCACACAUCGCCUCGCCAACCUGGCAGCCAAGAGCAGUUCUGUGUGAGCAAAAGUGAGUCUGUCUGGGGAGAGCGGAGGAACUGCAGCUUGAGACAAGCGGGCCGGAGUAGCCGGGGCCCUUCUCGCCUCCUUCCUUCCUGCUCACAGCUCAUUAUUCACUGGGCCACCUUUCCAUCUCCCCCUCCCCUCCGAGCGUGCACGGUGGGACAGUCCUCAGGCGCCUUUGUCUGCAGCCUCGCUGGGGGGAGAUGUGCGGCGGAAGGGGCGGGGCGGGGCGGGGAGGCGUGCGUGUUAGGUCUCAGGGGGAAGCUGGGGAGGGCCGUUUUGAACCAGUUUAUUGGAGAAGAGCUGGAGUUUCUCACUGGCUGCGCGCCCUGUCACCGUCCUUCUUUUCUCAAAGCCAGAGGUGGCAUCCCCAGGUGCAAAGCGUCCUCCGUCUUCACAAUGCCCAAGUCAGCCUCAUCCCCCGGCUUCCCGCUGGGGACGCACCGCUGGCGCGAGGGAGAGCGCCCCCUGCAUGGCCCCAAGUGAAGUGAGCCUUCCGGCAUAUAUUUCUGCAGCCUGGCUCCCCUGAUGAGACGCUUCCAGAGGGGACAUCCACAGAGACAGAGUGUAGACUGCAUUGCCGGGGCCUGGGCCGGGCUGGGGCUCGGCGAGGGCGGGGAGCGGCUGCCUAACGCAUACGCGCUUUUCUGCCAAAGUGAUGAACUUAUUUUGGAAUAGAUAGUGAUGUUUACACAACCCUGUGCAUGCUAAAUUGCUCAGUCGUGUCCGACUCUUCGCCACCCCGUGGACUGUAGCCCGCCAGGCUCCUCUGUCCACGGGAUUC
rnacentral:lncRNA from 1 species